rnacentral:rRNA from 1 species
GCGUGCCUAAUACAUGCAAGUCGAGCGAACGGACGAGAAGCUUGCUUCUCUGAUGUUAGCGGCGGACGGGUGAGUAACACGUGGAUAACCUACCUAUAAGACUGGGAUAACUUCGGGAAACCGGAGCUAAUACCGGAUAAUAUUUUGAACCGCAUGGUUCAAAAGUGAAAGACGGUCUUGCUGUCACUUAUAGAUGGAUCCGCGCUGCAUUAGCUAGUUGGUAAGGUAACGGCUUACCAAGGCAACGAUGCAUAGCCGACCUGAGAGGGUGAUCGGCCACACUGGAACUGAGACACGGUCCAGACUCCUACGGGAGGCAGCAGUAGGGAAUCUUCCGCAAUGGGCGAAAGCCUGACGGAGCAACGCCGCGUGAGUGAUGAAGGUCUUCGGAUCGUAAAACUCUGUUAUUAGGGAAGAACAUAUGUGUAAGAAACUGUGCACAUCUUGACGGUACCUAAUCAGAAAGCCACGGCUAACUACGUGCCAGCAGCCGCGGUAAUACGUAGGUGGCAAGCGUUAUCCGGAAUUAUUGGGCGUAAAGCGCGCGUAGGCGGUUUUUUAAGUCUGAUGUGAAAGCCCACGGCUCUACCGUGGAGGGUCAUUGGAAACUGGAAAACUUGAGUGCAGAAGAGGAAAGUGGAAUUCCAUGUGUAGCGGUGAAAUGCGCAGAGAUAUGGAGGAACACCAGUGGCGAAGGCGACUUUCUGGUCUGUAACUGACGCUGAUGUGCGAAAGCGUGGGGAUCAAACAGGAUUAGAUACCCUGGUAGUCCACGCCGUAAACGAUGAGUGCUAAGUGUUAGGGGGUUUCCGCCCCUUAGUGCUGCAGCUAACGCAUUAAGCACUCCGCCUGGGGAGUACGACCGCAAGGUUGAAACUCAAAGGAAUUGACGGGGACCCGCACAAGCGGUGGAGCAUGUGGUUUAAUUCGAAGCAACGCGAAGAACCUUACCAAAUCUUGACAUCCUUUGACAACUCUAGAGAUAGAGCCUUCCCCUUCGGGGGACAAAGUGACAGGUGGUGCAUGGUGUCGUCAGCUCGUGUCGUGAGAUGUUGGGUUAAGUCCCGCAACCGAGAAC